GGAAAAGUGCCUGAAAAAAAAGGGUUAUUUUGAUAGAAUAAAUCAUGCAAGUCUUUGCCUUUUCCU
rnacentral:tRNA from 1 species